GCAUUGUUUCAUCACUCCCUGGAAAUAUUUAAAAAAAAAUGGUAAAACAAUGGUCACUUCUGUAAAAAUCAGAAACUAGAGCAUUUUAUAUUUCACCAAACAGAAUCUGUCUCAAGCAAUUAGUUCACUAAUAAUAUUUGGCAAAGCUGACAAAGUACUAUCUAUUUGGAAAGCAUUAGACAAAUAGCUAAUCUUCACGCCAUUACUGUGAGAGAAGUAUUAUCCCCAUUUGCCUGUUUCUCCAUCUGUAAGAGAGGUUAAGAGACCACAGAGCCAGUUGCAUCAAAGCCAGGAUUAGAAGUCCAGAGGUUCUGAUUGUUAGACCUGUGCCGAAUCCAUCAGAACAAACUGCUAAGUGACUGAGCCAUAUGCACUAGAAGCUGCAUACAGACUUCAGCCAGCUGGAUGCCAGCUUAUUUAUUACAAACUAGGUUGUAUGCAUUACAAAAUGUGAAAAAAAGGAUAUAAAUUAAAGUUCAACAACGAAUGAGAUCAGAACCAAAUUUUUUUUUUUUUUUUUUUUUUUUUUAAAACAAGUGAGAACAUGCUACAUUUUCCAUUUGUCUGAAACAGUACAGAAGGCCAGCUGCCACCACACUCCAAGAAAGCCCCUGUAAGUUCCUUUGUAUAACGGGUUACAUACCCUGUCCUUUCCUGAAGGCGUGGGGAGGGACUAUUAAUUUUUUAAAGGUAUGCAUGGGGUCGGGAAGAAAUAGAUUUUAAAAACACUUAUUCUACCAGAUUCUUUUGCUAGGAUAUUUCCCUUAGUCAAAUACAGGUUCUCCUACUUGGUGACACAAGUUAGAUUGGAUUAGAAAUAAGGAUGGUAACAUGCCCUGCCUUCCUUCAGCCACAUUUACAUUUGGAUUGUGGUUUAAUGUGAUCUGUGCAGUGGUGCUGGAACUAGAGGUGCAGCCACACUCCUUGGCUUGAAGUAUUAACACCAUCAAAUACAUGGUUUCCAUCAGCAGCACCCCCACUAUAAAUAUUGUUACAGCACCCGUGGACCUGUGUACAUUUAAGCAUGAAUUCACCCAACCAAUCCCCUCUAGCACACAGUCACCCCUGCUCAUCUUAUGUCAAAAGUGGAAGUGUAUGGCCACACAUUCAAUUAGGACACUGAUGCCGUUUGAAACGGAUGAGAUUUGAGGUACAGAUGAGAUGGGAUCUAGGAGAAGCCCAGCCUUCCUCAGUUGAAGGAUCAUUAGGAUGCCAUAUGGGGUUAUGAGUCAAGGGAAAAGAGACAAAAAGUGAACAGACUGUAGCCUCAAAGCACCUUGGGGGUGGGGGGGGAGGAUGGGCAGGUGGGAAUUAAACAAUACAAGAACUGUUAGAAGUAACAAAAUAUUGACAAAAGUUUCAAUGUGGAUUCUUGACAGUAUAAAAGGAUAGGACUGUCAAAUUUAAGACUUACCUGCUAGUGCAACUGGUGCAGUUUCAGAUGUUGUUUAAUAUGUAUUUAAAUUUAUGUCCAGCUGACAAACAAGGUUUAAUGCAGAUAAUACUUUGUACAGAGUCUCAGCAUAAGAAUAAAAAUAUGCUUGUACAGAAGAUAUACUAUUGCAGCAAGCUACACCUUAGGAUCAUGAAAACUGAAACUAUUUACAAAGAUUAUUCACAGCUAAAUGCAAUAUUGCUGUCAUUUAUGAUAAAUUGCUGCAUAUGGUUUCUGUGCACAUUACAUACGAGUUAGAAGAGCAAGUCAACUAACCUAUUGUGAAUACCCUGUUUUCAAAAGGGAAUGUUAUUUCAUUGUGAUAAAAAACAGUUUUCUACACAAUGCAAUAAAUCUAUCAUGUCUAAAUACAUUAAGCAUUACAGAAGUCAAGUCUCACAUAUCCAUAAAAGCCAGCAACUCAUAAAUUCAGUUUCCCACAACAGUUACCCCAGGUCAAGUGCUAGUAUAAAUGGCACCAAAAUUAGCCAAAUAUAAGCCAGGUCUAGACUGGGUAGUUAAGAUUACACCAUCAAGUGCCAUACAAGUGAAUAAAGUAUAAUUGCUAAAACUAAUAAAAAAUGGGGCUUAAAAUAUAUAAAAUAGUCUCUUAAGUGAUUUGCCAGACGUCCAUAAGACAAUCUUUGGCAAAGAGUUUCACGUUUUGGAGAUGUGCAAACAUAAGCUUGUCAAAGGUCUAAAUUUUCCAAGAGACUGUACGCUAUUAACUGGUGCUUUAUUUUUGAUAUCUGGAAAUCCAUACAUGGUUUAGUCACAAGAGUAAUUCUUUAAAGUAAAACUGACAUCAUAUAUUGUAGAACUUCAUUUCCAGAUUUUAUUUGAUUAUUAAUAGAUAAUGGUUUGAAUUCUUGUACCAACUUGAUAUUUUAAGGACAUCUUGUGUGUUUACAGAAGUGUUAAAUAUAGAGUAAAAUGAACUUCUAUAAAGCAAUAAGAUAUUUUAGCAUGAUCCUUGGCUUCAGAUACUGAUAGAGACAAAGGGAUGGCUGUACAAAUAAUAUGAAAAUAUCAUUAGAACUCUUUAAGCAUCACUGCAAUAGAUAUCUUGUAGUCUUUCCUGAGCCAGCAAACAGCUGAAGGAUGAAAAUAAAUGCUUACACAUCUGCAUCAUAACAGACGUGAAGACAAAUUAUUUUAUUCUACCACUGGCAAUAGUUUCCUUUUUUAAAAAGCCUCAUUGUACAGAAUCAGAUCAACAAAGCCACCUUCAGACAGACAGCAUGAAGGUCAGUCUGGAAAUAUGUUUGCAAAGUAGAGAAAUAUUGUGCUAUUGGGGAUAAUUACUGAAGUAGUAUAGAAAUCUAAUUACCACUGCAGUGACAAAACAUUUAUUUAGAGAGUGAAGACACUCUAUGCAUACUCAUUCUAUGCAACUGUAAGAUACUGUUAGAAGCAAGAUGCACAUUAUAAAUGUUAAAGUCAAUGAAUACAGAGCAACGUUUUAUGCGGUGGAAUUUUGUAGAAUAGGCAUGAACUCAUGUUGGACAAUACAGGAUAGUAAUCGAAAUGAGAUUUAAGAGGCCUAAUGUGAGUAGCUCCAAAUGAGGACAAGUUGAAGGAGGCGGGGCUACACUGGUACGGGCAUAUCCAGCGGAGACCCAAGGGUUAUAUAAGUAAGAUGGCUCUUUACGAAAGAUGGCUAAUGGGGAGACCAAAGACUCUGUACGCAGACCGGAUAUCAGUGGACUCCAGAGAGACCAAUCUGCAUGACAGCCUAGAAGAAGGCUACAAGAGUCGCCAACCCCGAAUAAGGGAAAUGUCAAGAAUGAGGAGGCAGCAGCAUGAACUCAUCUGUGUGUACACACACAUGGUCUGGAGCUCUUUUUUAAAAACCUAUAUUAUAAUGGUCAAAUUAGUGGUUUGAAAAAAUCAUUUUUAAAUACUCCUUCAGAGAGUACUACUUGAUUUUCAUGAGCUUAUACUCUUCCUGAAAGAUAAUUUUGCUUAGAUGUAGUUGCUGUACUGCAGGAAUUAAAUUCAGAAAGUAACCUUUAAUAAAAUAAAAUAAAAAAUCUCCCUCUUCCCAGAACAGUAACAUUUUAUUCUGCACCAACUAACUGUUGCUCAUAGUAACAUCCGUGGGUAGGUGCAGUCAAUCACAUUACUAGUUACUUCAGUCAUGGGAGGGUCCUUUGGUAAUUUCAGUGAAACCAAAAUUACACAUUUCUGAUGUUUAGUCAACUAAAUUUCUGUUUCCACACAGAAGAGCAACAUAAGGAUAUAAAUAAAAGGCAAAUGACUACAAGCAGCUUCUGGGUUAGAUUUUGAUAACUCUACAAUAGUUAAAAGAAAGCAUGUACUGUACUUCUCAUCCACCAGUAACCAUGAAGUCAGCUUUGUCCUUUGAGAGAUACAAUAACCUUCAGUCUUUAAUAGCCACCAAUUAAGUACAUUUGUACGGGACAUAUUUUUAACCUUAAAUAUUGAUUUACUGGAAUAAUUUAUUAAACUGAUUAAGAUGCAGGUUUACUAAAUUGAUGAAGAAAUGAUGAAUGGAAAAAGACUGUAAAAUGACAAAUCUAGCACAGCUCUGGGGAUUUUUAUAAAUUUUAAUUGCUACUAUAAUUUCAGAGUCAGGUUACUUAUUUAGCAAGAUUGACAGAAAUGCUCCUUGAGAAGGAAAGACAAUACACCAAGUCAAUGUCAUUCUGGCAUGGUAGAUUUAUUUUUGUAAUCCUGACUUACAUCGAUGCCAGCUUUGCAGAAAGGUCAUCAUUAAUUCAAUACAAAGUUCAUCUGUUUAAUUCCAUUUAAGGUUUUCAUAGAAACUGAAGAAGAAACUAAAAACUAAGUCUGGUUCUGUAAAGAAGGGUAUCAGAUAUUGGCCACUACUGGAGGAAAAUACCAGACUAGAUGGGACAUUUCCUAGUAUUACAGGGUGAUAUCAAAAUAUUGAUGUUUAACAGAAGUGAAAGUGCAGAGAGAGAUAGAGAAUCACUACUGGUUAUACUGUGGGCAUUAUGCAUGUCAGACUGGAAUAACUUCUUUAUGUAAGCAUAUAUACUUAGGACCUUAAAAAAAAAGCCUGUUAUGGAAAUGAAUCAAUACAGCUCCUCUGGAGCUGUUAAUGUUUCAUCAUUUAAAUAUGUAGUCAUUUUAGGAGCCAUAUUAAUUACAAAAUGGAACACAACAGCUCUGUUGGAGCCUUACCAGUCUAUUACAUGUUUAGGAUAUUUAUUUAGCACCAUCAGUGCUCAUAGCACAUUAUUUUAAAGUUUGCCAAAUGAAGAAUAAAGAUCAGAAUCCCUACCCAAAAACGAACUAUGAAAAAAGAACACACUCAACUGUGCUGUUGGUAUAAUUUCUUUGAAAAUUGAGAAAUAUUAAUGUUUAAAAUCUAUUUUGGGACAGAUGUUAAAAAAGAAUAGCAGUGAAAUGUCACUGCCAUGGCUGCUCAGGUUAAGGGAAGAUCACAAAUCAUGUAUGGCAAGUCCCCCCCCUUACACCCAAAGAUGAGAAUUCUAAAGCAGUGCUAUACAAAGUACUCCAUAUUAACAUUAAUUUCAAAAUUACUAUUAAACAUAGCCUUGUGUCUGGUAAAUAGCCACUGCUUUGAAUCUUCAUUAGUAUUGCCCAAUAAACUCUAAUGGCAUUUGAACAGGAUUUUCCAAAACCAGAAGACUUCAAUAGGAGUAGAAAUAGGCCAAGGAAGAAUGCUUUUGAAAAUUCAACCCUAUUAUUCAAGUAAGCUUGCUAAGUAGUAAAACUAUGAAUGUAACAAGAAUGUUUCUCUCCUAUUAAAAUAAAUGGGAAAUAGAAACCAAUGCAAUAGGAAAAAAAAAUCCUUGUUUUACUAUUUUUCCCUCUUUAUAGUGAAAGCACGUUCCGGAGCUGUUACUGGCUAUGAUAGAAGUACACAUUCCUUCAAGAGCUGUAGCUCACAAAAGCUUAUGCUCAAAUAAAUUUCAAAUGGAUAGGACCUUCUGAGCAAAGGGGAUCCCAACCCUUGUGGAAAGUCUGCAAAGACCCGGGGCCCUGCUAAGACAGAAAGACUGAGGGGUGACCUCUGUCAGGUUGAAACUGACGGAGCAUGCUUCAAGUUGGCUUUUGACAUGCUUUUGAAAAACCACCACUCACAUUACAACAUUUAUUCAAAAGUCAAAACGUAGCAUAUGAACAAGCAAUUACUUGGUCAGCAACUCUGGACUGAAAAAAAAGCACAGAACUCAAGCUCACAGCACUACACCAUCAAAAGAAGUUAAAGCACACAUCCCCUCACCUUAAAUUUGUGUCUGUUUCUAUUGUACAGUAUGAAAUUUCUAUAAAGGGGUUUCUAAAUCAGGAAGACGGUAUGAAGAAAACAACAUACUUAUGUUAUAUGGCAAAACAGAAAACACUGAAAACUACAAACAAAAGGCCUCUCUACUAUAGGAAAAACUUGAUCCAGCCGGGAAAAUGUAUUUGAAGUCUUCUACAAAUUUAUUACAUAUCUUUAAAGUAUUUUCCUGGGCUAGUAACUGUCCUAUGGUAGGUGUUGUGUCUACAUUCCGCUGAUCACUAAGGCAAAUAGCUCAAUAUGGUUGAAUAUAAAGGAGGUGGGAGCGGGCUAAUAGAGAGCAGCUACAGGACAUGAGUUGAGCAGUCCUAAGCUAAAAAACUCAGGAACAAAUCAACGCUGGGAUCAGUGACUGAGCUGAACACUAUGUAGUAUUAUUAUUAUUAAUUUCUGUAUUAAAGCAGCCAGUGGGGUCUUAAUCCAAGACUAGGGCUCCUAGGUGUUACGAUAAUACAAACAAUGACAAUCAGGAGGAAGGAAUUUUAGACUCUACCACAUAUGUGGACUACUUUAGAGCAGUUUGGGAAAGGCACCUACUCGCACAUAUAUCAGCAUCAAUAUUUUAAAGUUAUUGUGUCCAUUAAACACUCACUGAGUU